GAUGAACGCUGGCGGCGUGCCUAAUACAUGCAAGUCGAGCGAACAGACGAGGAGCUUGCUCCUCUGACGUUAGCGGCGGACGGGUGAGUAACACGUGGAUAACCUACCUAUAAGACUGGGAUAACUUCGGGAAACCGGAGCUAAUGCCGGAUAAUAUAUUGAACCGCAUGGUUCAAUAGUGAAAGACGGUUUUGCUGUCACUUAUAGAUGGAUCCGCGCCGCAUUAGCUAGUUGGUAAGGUAACGGCUUACCAAGGCAACGAUGCGUAGCCGAUCUGAGAGGAUGAUCAGCCACACUGGAACUGAGACACGGUCCAGACUCCUACGGGAGGCAGCAGUAGGGAAUAUUCCGCAAUGGGCGAAAGCUUGACGGAGCAACGCCGCGUGAGUGAUGAAGGUCUUCGGAUCGUAAAACUCUGUUAUUAGGGAAGAACAAAUGUGUAAGUAACUAUGCACGUCUUGACGGUACCUAAUCAGAAAGCCACGGCUAACUACGUG
rnacentral:rRNA from 1 species